AUUGAACGCUGGCGGCAGGCCUUACACAUGCAAGUCGAACGAGUGGCGGACGGGUGAGUAAUGUCUGGGAAACUGCCUGAUGGAGGGGGAUAACUACUGGAAACGGUAGCUAAUCCCGCAUACCAUCAGAUGUGCCCAGAUGGGAUUCGCUAGUUGGUGGGGUAACGGCUAACCAAGGACACGAUCCCUAGCUGGUCUGAGAGGAUGACCAUCAAAACUGGGACUGAGACACGGGCCAGACUCCUACGGGAGGCAGCAGUGGGGAAUAUUGCACAAUGGGCGGAAGCCUGAUGCAGCCAGGCCGCGUGUAUGAUGAAGGCCUUCGGGUUGUAAAGUACUUUCGGCGGAGAGGCGUUACCCGCAGAAGAAGCACCGGCUAACUCCGUGCCAGCAGCCGCGGUAAUAC
rnacentral:rRNA from 1 species